GCCCAAAGUUCCUUGACCCAUAUGUUGAGACAUAUGUAUCAUGUCUACAUCCCCUGUAACUAUUUUAUAGUGCAAUUUUAACCAUUUGGAAGGCAGGACCUCACAAGAUUUUAAGCAAACACUUGUAGUAUCUUGUGGAGAUGAUACAUGCAUUCUUUUUUCACUUAUGUCCUGUUUUUUUCAAAAUGUUUCCAUGAGAAGAAAGGUCUGGCUGUUCUUCCUAGCAGUAAGAAGCCACUGCACCAGAAAGGCUACCUACGUGUUGGAGUAUGGGGUAGGUUUGUCUGAAGGAAUUCAGCAUGAUGAUGUGACUGAUCUAUGAUGGUCCCGUGUGCCCCCUGCCAUUUAAAUCCUGAUGGACGUAUAUCCCCACCACUAGAUAUGAAAUGGGGUUAGGAAUUUUGCUCUUCUUUCUCACGCUUUUAUGAGCAGCAUCUACCUCCAGGUGAGAAUUCACGUUGUAUGUACUAGCCAGGCAAUGAGUAGAGCAACUCAGCAUCGUCACUGUAGGUUUCUGUGAGCAUGCAGGGUGGGAGGGUGGCAGGGGCUGCUGGAGCUGGGCUGUUACCUUGGGAAUGGGGCAGCUGUAUAGACACAUAGGCUUAAGAACCAUGGCAUGGUGACCUCCGCUACCCAUAAAGUAAUUAAACAACAAAUACAGAUUUAACCAGUAUUAGAUAAUAAAUCAAGAGGAACUAGACUAAUUAUAUGGUGU
rnacentral:lncRNA from 1 species